AGUGAACGCUGGCGGUAGGCCUAACACAUGCAAGUCGAACGGCAGCACAGGAGAGCUUGCUCUCUGGGCGGCGAGUGGCGGACGGGUGAGGAAUACAUCGGAAUCUACUCUGUCGUGGGGGAUAACGUAGGGAAACUUACGCUAAUACCGCAUACGACCUACGGGUGAAAGCAGGGGAUCUUCGGACCUUGCGCGAUUGAAUGAGCCGAUGUCGGAUUAGCUAGUUGGCGGGGUAAAGGCCCACCAAGGCGACGAUCCGUAGCUGGUCUGAGAGGAUGAUCGGCCACACUGGAACUGAGACACGGUCCAGACUCCUACGGGAGGCAGCAGUGGGGAAUAUUGGACAAUGGGCGCAAGCCUGAUCCAGCCAUACCGCGUGGGUGAAGAAGGCCUUCGGGUUGUAAAGCCCUUUUGUUGGGAAAGAAAUCCAGCUGGCUAAUACCCGGUUGGGAUGACGGUACCCAAAGAAUAAGCACCGGCUAACUUCGUGCCAGCCGCCGCUGUAA
rnacentral:rRNA from 1 species